AUACGUAGGGGGCGAGCGUUGUCCGGAAUGAUUGGGCGUAAAGGGCGCGUAGGCGGCCCGGUAAGUCUGGAGUGAAAGUCCUGUUUUUAAGAUGGGAAUUGCUUUGGAUACUGUCGGGCUUGAGUGCAGGAGAGGUAAGUGGAAUUCCCAGUGUAGCGGUGAAAUGCGUAGAGAUUGGGAGGAACACCAGUGGCGAAGGCGACUUACUGGACUGUAACUGACGCUGAGGCGCGAAAGUGUGGGGAGCAAACAGGAUUAGAUACCCUGGUAGUCCACACUGUAAACGAUGAAUGCUAGGUGUAGGGGGUAUCGACCCCUUCUGUGCCGCAGUCAACAUAAUAAGCAUUCCGCCUGGGGAGUACGGCCGCAAGGUUGAAACUCAAAGGAAUUGGCGGGG
rnacentral:rRNA from 1 species